GCAUUAAUGGGGUAGUGGUAACCUGGGUCGUUGCCAUCGAGCUGCGCUCGACCCGCCGGGGGUUCGAUUCCCUCUUAAUGCA